GGUUAAGCGACUAAGCGUACACGGUGGAUGCCCUGGCAGUCAGAGGCGAUGAAGGACGUGCUAAUCUGCGAAAAGCGUCGGUAAGGUGAUAUGAACCGUUACAGCCGGCGAUGUCCGAAUGGGGAAACCCAGUGUGAUUCGUCACACUAUCGUUAACUGAAUACAUAGGUUAACGAGGCGAACCGGGGGAACUGAAACAUCUAAGUACCCCGAGGAAAAGAAAUCAACCGAGAUU
rnacentral:rRNA from 1 species